AUUGAACGCUGGCGGCGUGCCUAACACAUGCAAGUCGAGCGUGAUUUAUGAGGACGAAACUUCGGUCUAGGAAUCAUAAUGAAAGCGGCGGACGGGUGAGUAACGCGUAGGCAACCUGCCCUUGACACAGGGAUAGCCGCGGGAAACCGGGAUUAAAACCUGAUGACGCCAAACAGUCACAUGGCGGUUUGGCCACAGAUUUAUCGGUCAAGGGUGGGCCUGCGUCUGAUUAGUUAGUUGGUGGGGUAACGGCCUACCAAGACGACGAUCAGUAGCCGACCUGAGAGGGUGAUCGGCCACAUUGGAACUAAGACACGAUCCAAUCUCCUACGGGAGGCAGCAGUGGGGAAUAUUGCACAAUGGACGAAAGCCUGAUGCAGCAACGCCGCGUGAGCGAUGAAGGCCUUUGGGUCGUAAAGCUCUGUCGCAGGGGAAUAAAACAAUGAUGGUACCCUGUAAGAAAGGAUCGGCUAACUUCGUGCCAGCCGCCGCAGUAACAC
rnacentral:rRNA from 1 species